CAACGUUUCAAACUCUCGGGGCCAGCACUUGUACGAUUAGCCCAAUUUCUGUGCAAAGUUUUGCUUUUGGGCUUUUUUUGGUUACACUAUGCAAAUAUCCAGCUCACCAAUUAUUUUGAAGAUAUAAUAUAUGUAAUUCCAUCAGAUGUGGGAGGAAGAGAAGGGGGUUUCAACUGGAAAAUCUCAAAAACUUCAUAUUUGCAAUUUUUCUAUAACUUGGGUUACCUGAUAAAUCAAUCCACUGACAUCGUUUUCUUUUGUAAUCGAGGGAGUUUCAACAGACAUACCCAUUUGGAUCAUCGGGUGAGGCUAUUUGAUCCGAAUUUGCAACAAAACAAACAAAUCUACCAUCAUUUGAAAUUGUGAAAACCAAAACGACGACAAAGGCGUUUAAUAGAUCAAUUGUGAAAUUUGGUUUGCUGAAGCGUUUAAGAUGGAUUUGGGAAAGAGAAAGACCGAAAGAGAUGAGAACAAGAGAAAGCCGAGAUUUCCAUCCAAUUUCCACCCACCAACAACCGAAAUUUCCAUCGGAUUUCCACAAAUAUCCAUCGAAAAUCCGAGAUUUUCAUCGAUUUAAGUUGACAACGUCGAUAUUUUGCGGCAACGGUGACAUUUCUGCGACACCUCGGAAGAUAUUUUUUUCCCCCUCUAUCGCUGUAGAUGCUCACUGAUACCCGAAAAUGUUGUUGAAAUUUCAAUGAUAUCGCUGACUUUUUCUUC